AUCCUUGUAGCGCAAUAAAUAGUGCGUUGGACUUCUAAUCCAAAAUUCCUGGGUUCGAACCCUACCUGGGAUG